UACGUAGGGUGCAAGCGUUGUCCGGAAUUAUUGGGCGUAAAGAGCUCGUAGGCGGUUUGUUGCGUCGGCUGUGAAAUCCCGAGGCUCAACCUCGGGUCUGCAGUCGAUACGAGCAAACUAGAGUGUUGCAGGGGAGACUGGAAUUCCUGGUGUAGCGGUGAAAUGCGCAGAUAGUCGAGGAGGAACCGAGCCGGUAGGCGGAAGGCGGGGUCAUCUGGG
rnacentral:rRNA from 1 species